rnacentral:rRNA from 1 species
GUCCUCUUGAUAUUUUUUGAGGUCUCGCCUGCCCAAUGAAUAUUAAAUGGCCGCAGUAUUUUGACUGUGCUAAGGUAGCAUAAUCAUUAGUUUCUUAAUUAGAAGCUUGAAUGAAGGGUUGGAUGAAAAAUUAGUUGUCUCUUUUUUAUUAUUAAAAAUUUAUUUUUAAGUUAAAAAGCUUAAAUUUUUUUUAGGGACGAGAAGACCCUAUAGAGUUUUAUAAAAAAUUUAUUUGUAUUUUUUAGUAAAGAAUUUUAUUAAUAUAUUUUUUAUUUUAUUGGGGUGAUAGAUUAAUUAAAUAAACUUAUUUUUUAUAUUAUCAUAGAUUAGUGUUUAUAUGAUCCAAUAAUUUGAUUAUAAGAUUAAAUUACCUUAGGGAUAACAGCGUUAUUUUUUUUAGAGUUCUUAUCGAAAAAGAAGAUUGCGACCUCGAUGUUGGAUUAGAAUAAAUUGUUGGUGUAGUCGUUAAUUAA